UGCGAAGCAUUACCAAGGAUGUUUCAUAAUCAAGAACGAAAGUUAGGGAUCGAAGAUGAUUAGAUACCAUCGUAGUCUUACCAUAAACUAUGCCGACAAGGGAUUGGUGGAGUAUCGUUUUGUCUCCAUCAGCACCUUAUGAGAAAUCACAAGUCUUGGGUUCCGGGGGGAGUAUGGUCGCAAGGCUGAAACUUAAAGAAAUUGACGGAAGGGCACCACCAGGAGUGGAGCCUGCGGCUUAAUUGACUCAACACGGGAAAACUUACCAGGUCCAGACAUAGUGAGGAUUGACAGA
rnacentral:rRNA from 1 species